UCAUUUCAUUUAGAUGACUUUCAUUUCAUUUAGAUGACUUUCAUUUCAUUUAGCGUUAUCUUGCAUUUUUCACGGCUGAAACGCAUUCUCCUGACAUCUACAGCUUAUUACAUAUUAGUGUGGUUCGGGGCGAAGCCCCGGCGCCAAAAGCGUUAUCUUGCAUUUUUCACGGCUGAAAUGCAUUCUCCUGACAUCUACAGCUUAUUACUUAUUAGUGGGUUCGCGGCGAAGCCCCGACGCUAAAAGCGUUUUUUGGCAUUCUUCACAGCAGUACGGUAACGCAUUCUCCUGACCUACAGCUCAUUAUUCAUUCUAUUAUAAGCUAAUAUGAAUUUAUAGUCCCUUAAUACAUAGCAAAUACAACCGAUUUGUUCUUUGAAAAGAUAAGUUACGUAACAUAUUUAGAUUAAGGCUUUGAGGACCGCCGCCGAAAAAAAACAUUCGAUUAAUAAUAUUCAAUAAAAUGUAAGCAUAAAUUAUGAGUUAUAGUCCUAAAUUUAUUUCAGUAGAAAAUAUGAGAUAGAGUAAGGUUGGAAAAAGUCGACUAGGAAAAGAAUAUCUGGCUUUUGAACUCAUCUCAACCGUGACUGUUAUAUUGACAAAUUUCGUUUGAAUUAUAACUUUUCCAAAGCAAAGUCUUUCUUAAAAUAGUUAUGAUAAAUUCAUGUGAAAUUACACAAACUCUGUCUGGAAAGGGGAAGGGCGGUAAAAUGAAAACGAUUAAUUCUCGCUCCUUUUUAUAAUUUCUGCUAAUGAUUGCAUUUUGCAUAAAAGAAUAGAGGUUGGGCGACUCGAUAUAAGAAUUUACUUUAUAGCAUAUAUAAAUUAUAUUAGUGACAGAUUAGUGACAGAUUUUUUUAAUUUUGUAAUCUCUUACUAUAAUACAAAAAGUAAAAAGUAUUGGUUUGUCCGAUGAGGGGAAGGUGAUUGCAUGUAUCGUAUACAGUGUAGUAGAUGUGGACAUUCACCGAAUCAGGGGGGGGGGGGGGUUAAAUUUUUUUAAAAUCUAACGUUCAUUUGUUAUUAGAAGGAAAACAAAUCGCUCUGGAAGUUGUAUCAAGGGAGGUAAUGUCUUUUUUUUAAAGGUAUUUUUGAUGUUUUUUGUUUCAAUUCCUCUUUUCAGCUUGCAAUUCUUCAUCUGUCAAAAAACAAAAACAUCUUGAAAAUGGCUGUAACAAUUUUCCUAGAAAUUCGACAGUUGAUGUGUAUCUUUGAAAAAAUAAUUACUAGCUAAUUGGUCACACCUGAAAAACUGUAGUUUGACCGUUUUAAUUGUUAAAAGUAUAAUACAAAAAUAUUUGUCUCCAAGUCUGGAUAGGCCACAUCCUUUAUGAAUGCAGAGUUCUGCACGAAGGACGAUUGGGACAAAGUAUAGAUAGAGAGAAUGCUGGUUCAUGUACGACACAGAGGCUGUCCUUGUACGGGGACAAGGCAACCUUAAGACUCACUGCUCGCUUCCUCUCACGUGCUCUAAGGGAGUAACUCUCAAGCAUGUUUUCGUUGUCAAUGGGGUUUUUGACUCGGAUAGGCCUAAUCCUUACCUUGAAUAGGCGUUCGUCAUCGGGUAUCCCCACAUUUAGGCCCUAUUUAGUAAAGAUUUUCAUUAAUAAAUAAACUCUGGUUUGACCUUUAUUUUUGAAGUAUAAUCUAAUAAUUAAAUUAAUUGGUUUGGAUGUUGUGACAAUUUUAAUUUUGAACAUAACGUCAGCGGGUAUUUCUGCAUGUCUUCACUAAAUAGUGAAAUAAACAAUUUAGACCUUCAGGAAUAUUUUGUGCACCAUCUUCUAGGUCUGAAUCAUAGACUUAUAUCUACUACUAGACUGGAAACCGGAAAUCAAUUCUUAUCCGCGACUGAUCGAUCGUGAACAUUGUGUAGAAAGUUGGAUCAAGGCGUUGUUUUGUCAAGUAGUUCAAAGAAGUCAAGUUGUUGUUUUUUUCAACCCUAACCUAUGUAACAUAUAAUUUUAUUUUUUUAGAUCUAGAUCUAGUAAUUGAUUAUCAAAAAUACACAAAAAAUCACUAUUUAGUGUUGCAUUCAGUCUUUUGAUAAAGAAUAUUAUGUAUCUAAAAAUUGCUAAAUAAUAAUUAUGAGACGAGAGUACUCUUAUUUUUUGAUGUUCAUUUACUAGAUCUAGACCUCAAAGUUCUAAAUUAUAUUGUACUAACUGAAGAGAGACAAACUCAACGAGACAUCGAUGUUUAUUGACAGGACAUCACAAAUACAGGUAGAACAACAUGUCUUGUGCGAACCUUCUUUCUGCACUAGCCUGGAUGGCGGUGCGCUUGGCAGAGUUAUAACAUUGCCCCCUUCUUAGAGCUUUUCGUCCCGAAAAGAAACAGUGAAGUAGAGGUUAGACAAUUCAUGUAGAGGUCGAUCGGUGGGAGACACAGGCGGCAGGGAGCGUGUUCCCCACGAAGUCAUCCGCACUGUUUUCCUCUGGUGCCGCUUUCUCUUCCGCCAUUUGACCAGGCUGUUGUUGAGACGAUGACGUGGCCGUUUGACACACAACGAGACAGUGUUUUCCUCAGCACAGCCGUUGAUUGGAAACGCUGUCUCAGCAGACCCUCCCGACUGACGCCUCCCAAGGAGACUGCAGGCUCACAUGCAGCAACGUUGCAAACAAAGUCCAAUGUGCCGCAAUCACCCUCACCCAACAGUCUCACAUCCAGGAGAUAGGUUUCUUCAAGUUCAAGUUUCGAAUGUCUUCCUCUUGACAGCUCAGAUUUAGCCUGGGUUGAUUGACAUUCGUCUAUGCCAAUGUCGAUGAUGAUGGCAGAAGUACACAUGCCCUGUUUGUAGUUUUCUUGGCAUACACAUUCCCUGUGUGAUGCAUCGCACGUACAGCUAAUGCUAAACUUCUGGAUGCAGUUGUCGAGCUUCAAAUUUCCCUCGUAGGCACCGGCAGAUAGACAGAGGUCUUUAAAGUCCAUAGCAACAGGUUUGGACGCAGACCCAACGUUGUCUUCAUCUGUCCAGCUCAUUGGGGUACUAGGUACAACAGGAACAAACGCUUCAGGCACAUAACAGACCUCAGUUUCUUCAUUUGUCUCUUUCCUUUCAGUUAGAUACAUCCCGUUGAGAUCGUCGCAGCAAAUGUUGUGACGUUUCUCGUCUUGAAUGUCACAACCACAAGACUUGCUCACAACACAGCCACAGACGGCGCUCCAAUCCCCAGCGUCUCCGUCACCACUGUUUAUGCAGCCACAGUCCUGACCAUGCAACUUCUUCACCAACGAGUCUACAGGCAACUGCUCCUUCACUAACGAGUCUAUUCCUCCUUUCGCUUGAGACACCAUUUUAUCAAAUUGAUCUGUUUGUCCUUCCACUUGCAAUACACUUUCAUCUUACUCCCCAUCCUGUUAAUUUGUUCACGCAUUGCGUCAAUUUCUUCCUGUAUCUUGCCAAUGAGCUCAUAAAUCUCCGGUUUAAUUUCAAAUAAGUAAGUUUCUGGAUCUUCGUCUUCAUCUAUCAAGGCUUGCCGGAGACGAGCUGUAAGCACCUCCUUGGUACCACCAAUUAUCUCAUAUCGGUAACGAAGUUCCUUCCUAAGCUCUUUAACUGAGAGUUGGUCUAAUUGUUUCAAAGCUGCCAUUGUAAAUCCUACCUCCUCUCGUUGUCUUCUAUAAUCCCACUUCUGACACCUAUGUAAUAACUGAAGGGAGACAAACUCAGACAUAGGUGUUUAUUUACAGGACAUCACAAAUACAAGUAGAACAACAUGUCUUGAGCACAGCAUCUCUCCCUUUGGGCGGAAAUCGUUCUCUCCCUCUAAUGUCAACAUCCGACAUAGUCUUGUCACUAAUAGUGCGAACCUUCUUUCUGCGCUACCCUGGAUUGCGGUGCGCAUGGCAGAGUUAUAACAAUAUGUUAUAUAGGUUAGGAUUGACAAAAAUAGCCUGUACUUCUUUUAACUACGGUACUUUACAAAACAACGCCUUGAUCCAACUUUCUAAAACAUUAUCACAUUUUUUGUUGUGUUAAAAAGUCCCCAUGUCUAGUCUAGAUAUAGUAUAUAUAAGUGUAUGGUCUGAAUCUAUUGGACUAUCACCAACUAGAAUCUGUAUUUUAAUGUUGACCUAUAAUAAGGCUUGUCUUGGAGUCUGAAGAUCAAUGGGGAAUGCAGUAUUUCCAGUGGCUACGCAGCCCCAGUUGUGACCUACAUAUAUAUUGCCACACCCAGUCAAGCAUAAUCAUUGUCCACCGAUGGUCGAUUAAGAUUUUCUUUUCGCCGUCUGCGUUUGUCCCUUGGCAGCGGAUUUUCUUUUGGUCUCAAUUGUGUUUCCCGCGGCCUUUGUGAGUAACCUCCCGCUGUCUCGUUCUGAAGCCGCAUGCAUCCAGGUGCUCUCUUCUAUGUCAGUAAAAGCAAAUCGGAGCCUAAGCUGGUCUUUAAAGCGUUUCCGUGGGGUACAUCUCUAUCACUUAACAUUAUCUCUAUCACUUAACAUUAUCUCUAUCACUUAACAUUAUCUCUAUCACUAUCAUUAGGCCUACGAUACAAACAUCUGCAUUAAAAAAAAUAGUCUUCUGCUGUUAUAGAAACGUCAGUUUAAAGUAAAAACAUAUUUUGAGAACAUCAA